AUAAACUGCUACACCCGAAGAAUAUAGCAAAGUGAAGAAAAAUUGCUAUAGAUGCAUCAAGUUAACAUGGGUUUCAUACUGUCCUACUAGACAUAGAGAAAGUAGAAUAGUUACUUUGUUCUAAAUUGUACCAACUAUAUAUAAAAAAAUGCCGUAAGAGAAUGAAGGUCUACAAAAGGAUAUAUUAAAUACGUCUAGUAGAACAAGAAUCUUGAACUUGCAUUCAAGGGCACUC